rnacentral:tRNA from 1 species
AGGAAAGGUGGUCGAGUGGUUGAAGGCACAGCAUUGGAAAUGCUGUUUAGUAUCUAUACUAACGAGGGUUCGAAUCCCUUCCUUUCCUA